GCAAGUAAUGAGUUCCAUUAGUUCACUAAUUGUUUGAACGUACUCCACAUAUUCUAAGUGAUAUUUUUAUUAUCUUAGAAUGGAGUGAUCGGAAAUAAUUUGUUGAGUUAUUUGCAUUAAAUGUCUGUCCCUGCUUCAAUGAGCUUUGCUGUCAUUGUGAAGAUAAGAAGAUGGGAAAUCUCUGAGGCUUUUGUGUUUUCAGACAAUGGGAACAGAUUAGGGACAAGGAAGAGAAAAUCAAGAUUAGGGGAUUUUAGAAAAAUAAACCUGUGUAUUGCUGUUGGUUUUCAUGUUAGAAAAAAUUGAUUUUUUUUAUUGUGGUACAUUUAUUUCUGUCAUGUUUAGAACCCAUGUAAUGGUCUAUUAUUCUCUUUAGGCACUCAGGUAAGGCAAAGACAACCUCUGCUGCCCUGGAAUGCAGCACAGGGCAAAGCAAAGAGCAGGUGAGAGAGUUUCAUGGGAAAGAUGGGAUGUCCAGCUCAAGCUUCUGCUCUGUGAGUGUUACUGUUUUCAUCCUACUUGAUAUGUCUCAGAGUAAGCUGUGUUUCAGACAAGUAGCCCUUGGCAGUAGGCUGGAGAAAGAUGAGAUUUUAGUGUGAUGUGCUGCACAGGCAUAGGGGGAAAGGAAAGAAUUUGUGUGAAAAAUUGAAAUGACAAGGUCAUGUUGAUAGCCUGGUUGUGGAGCUGCCACUGCAGUUUGUUGUGUUGUGAUUAGAGAUGGGCCAGCUACCAUGAAUGAGAUGAGAGCUGGUUUGAACCUUCAUGCACUACUCUAGCCAGAGUGAAGAGGAGCCCAUGGUGAGGCUAAAACACAUCUAACACUGGUGCAUUUGGUUUCUCAGCAUUAUUUAAUGAGCUUCUGCUUCUGAUAAUUUAGCUCAAAAUAGAAAACAGGAAUCUAGAAAAAUAUUCAGGACAUUAAUCCAGUCUAAAAUUAUUCAAUCUGGGAAACUUGAUUGUAUAAAACCAUAUAAAGACAAUUUCAUACCAUUCCCAAACUUCCGUCUGUAACAAAGAGCUCCAUAUCCUUGUUAAUAACCAUCCUGUUAAUAAAAUGAAAUAAAGUCUGCAAAGCUUUCAAAUUUCAACACAGGGUCUUUUUAAUUAUGGAGCCCUCAGAUGAGAUGCCAAGCUUCUGUCAAAGGGUGAGUGUGAGAGUAGACUGUGUAUGAGGACUUGCAGUGGGAACUGCACUGAGCUAAGUGCAGGAUCCCUCUGACAGCUGUUUCUCUUCUCUUUGGCUUUAUCCUGUGGGAAGUAGCUUUACAUUCAGAUUCAGACUACAAGGGAUUCUACGAAAGCUGAAUUUCUGCACUGGCCGUGCUCAUUCUGCAGUGUGUGUCACACUCCCUGUGGUGAGGGCUGAGUUCUCCCUAUUUUUUGCAGUCUCUGUCUAAUGCAGACAAAAUUCCUCCUUCCCACAAGAAUUCCAGGAGAAAGCAAAGGCAGAGAGCAAGGGCAAGUGGAGACAAGCACUGCAGUUUACCUUGGACUCCCUGUUUUGAAACACUUGCCAAGCUCACUGAGUUUAAAGACACAUGACUUCGAUGUUACUGAAGAUUGUGUCAUAAUCAUCAAAUGGAGCUGGUGCCAAAUAAACCAGAUGGAGCUUUCAAUCAACAAACCGCAUUUAUUUUUGAUAUCUGUGGCUUAUUUGUUAUCCAUGCACCUUUUAAUAGGAUAAGGAUUUCUAGGAUGUUAUCGCAUGGUUCUAGCAUGGAUACAUUCUGCAGGCACCAGUUUGCCACCAAAGAUACUAAUCACGGAAGAAAGUGGUAUAGAAACUCAUAUUGAUGUUUUGCCUUUCCAAAGGAAGUCAAUGACAGCAAAGCAUAUUUCAAGGUCUGGUUGCCAACAUACUCAAUUAAGCAGAAUUUGGAGGAGGAGAAGAAGGAGGAGGGGGAUGGCUGAAAACUCUCAGUCAUACUACAAAUGUCAGCUAUCUGCUGUCAGAGACCUGGUGACGUUGAACCAAACUGUGAAAUAUGUGUAAUUCUUCAAAUAUUGCUGAUGAUGUAGCACCAGAUUUUUAUUUUUUUCCAUGUGCAUGUGACUGCUUUUGACCAUGACAGGUUUUCAUAAAUCUGGUGUCAUUAUAGAACACAUGACUUGUGUCACCACUGCUACAACAAGAGAAAUCCAUCACAGAUCAAAGCGCCAGGAAAAGUCCUAUUCACUAUAUAAGCCCCACUUAAGCUUUCCAAAUACAGCUUGAGUGGAAUUUAAGGCCAUGUUUUCACUCCUAUACAGACAGGAAUUUUACAAUGUGAAAACAAAUUAAAAUAUAAGCCAUUUUCUAAUGUAAUAUAAAACUAUCUGAAGUCACAAUUCAUUUAGACCUAGAUAUCUUUGUCACUAUUUUACCUUGAAUGCCAUUUUUAAUUUUUGUAGAAUAUGAACCUAAACAAUAAAACUGUCCAGUAUUAUCUUAAUACUUUUAACAUUAGACCUUCAACCUACAUACUGGGUUAGAUCUCUCUGAACAGAGUUGUCCAUAACCUUCUCAGACAACAAACUCUUUGAGCAAGGAUCAUGCUCGUCUCCUUGUUUAUGUGGUGCUUAGAUUGUUGCAGGCUACAAAAAAAUUUUCUAUUGUAAGAAAUUUGUUGAACUCUG